AUUUAAAUAAAUCAUCUAAUAAUGACUUAUUUAAAUAUCUGCAAUCAAAUACACGUAUUGCUGUGUGUAGUCUUUGCCUGUCACCUAAGACGGGCUUUUUUUUUA
rnacentral:other from 1 species